GGGGCCAGGGGAUCGAACCCCUGACCUCGUGAAUGGCAUUCACGAGGUCAGGGGUUCGAUCCCCCUUGGCUCCACCA
rnacentral:tRNA from 1 species